CCUACGGGAGGCAGCAGUGGGGAAUAUUGCACAAUGGGCGCAAGCCUGAUGCAGCCAUGCCGCGUGUAUGAAGAAGGCCUUCGGGUUGUAAAGUACUUUCAGCGGGGAGGAAGGGAGUGAGGUUAAUAACCUCAUUCAUUGACGUUACCCGCAGAAGAAGCACCGGCUAACUCCGUGCCAGCAGCCGCGGUAAU
rnacentral:rRNA from 1 species